AGCGUACUGGUUAGUGAUAAUUCUUGAAUACCAUAAAUAAGAAAUAAAAUUGAUUCGUGAAAUAGAAUUGCUCUAAAUAUAUAUACACUUAUAUGUUAACCACAAUUGAACAAAAUUAAGCCCACAAAAAUAAUACAUGUUUCUGCAAACCCAACCUACUCUAAUGUUAGUGCCAAUGCCAACACUAUUUAUGCCAUUUUGGAACAAGUAAGUCAGAAUGAUUCCCUAAUAGAAACAAGC
rnacentral:lncRNA from 1 species